rnacentral:rRNA from 1 species
CGACGGUUGUCCCGGUUUAAGCGAGUAGGGAGUGGGCUUAGGCAAAUCCGGGUCCACAAUCCUGAGACGUGACGACGAGUGCCCAAGGGCGCGAAGUCAUUGAUGCCCUGCUUCCAGGAAAAUCUUCUAAGCUUCAGGCUAUUCGAGACCGUACCCCAAACCGACACAGGUGGUCAGGUAGAGAAUACCAAGGCGCUUGAGAGAACUCGGGUAAAGGAACUAGGCAAAAUGGUGCCGUAACUUCGGGAGAAGGCACGCCGGUGUGUACGUGAAACCCCCGCGGGUGGAGCGGAAGCCGGUCGA